CCUACUGACCUACCCUAAGUCCCUAAUCCUCCCCCAAUCCCGUUUUCUCUCUCCUUCCUCCAGUUUUCUCCUCCGUUUCUCUUCAUCUUCUUCGAUCUUCUUCCACUAAUCCACUUCCACCAAAUUUGAGCCGCUGAAUUCCUAAGAAAUGGUCUCUAACCAGAUUCUUUCGAUUCUUCUACAAAGCUACAACUCGAUUGUUCCUAUUCGUUAAUUUUUGGGAACCCUUUAAUUUUGUAAUCUCAAAUCUCUGUUUUUUAAUCUGUAUCUUACGUUAUUGAAAGUGUUUGAUUGAAACCCUUUAAUUUUGUUUGAUUGAAUUUUUUGAUUGAAACCUUUGUUGAUUUUGAUUAUUAUUUUGAAAGCAUAGAUUUUGAAAGCAUUUCGAUGUGAAGCAACUUUUGGAGACGGAUUUGAGACUAAUUUCGCUUUUCUGACGUCAACGAAUUCGUCAAAGGUGUUUCAUUUGACCUAUCAGAUAAGAGCUUUUCUGCAUCGAAGAUCAAGAGGUCUUUGAUUGAGUGUAUUCCUUGGUGAAGUGGUAUUCUUCUCUUACUCCUCCCUGUAAAUUCAACAUCCUCGAAAGCCUUCAGUCAAAUUUCAGUGUGCUUCUUCGGAAAAUCUAUACUUUGUUAUGAAAAUUUCAAUGUUUUCCUUUGAAAAAAUUGAUUAUCGUGUUUGAUUUUAAAUUCGAUAUUUCUGGUGAUGAAGUAAGAACAUGAAAUUUGAAUAACCAAAACAAUUAGUUUAUUAGUUCUCUUAAUUUUGUUAAAUUGAUUAUCGUUUUUAAUAUCAUUAGUUCUCUUAAUUUUGGUUGAAAUAGUACUUGCUUUGAUGAAAUUGAAUAAUUCGAGAUCAUUUCUUUUUAAUGAAAUAAUCAUGGGUCUGACCAUCUGUGCCAAAUUAAUUUUGGAAAAUUUGGGGAUUUGGAUUGGAGUAAUUUACUAAUUUGAUUGAUCAGGUACUUUGAAGAGGAAUUCUGGUGUUUGUUAACAUGAUGAGAUGAUUAAAUUAAGUUGUAAUUAACCUAAGAUCACUAAUUAUAGUUGAAAGGUGCAUUGUGAAAAUUCAGAUAGUUUUUGGUGUGAGAAAUGACGAAAAGUAAACACAUGUAAUCUUGGUGGUGGGAUAGCCACAUUAGCCCGAUAAUUCGAAAUGGCUCCAGGAAAAUGUAACAGGUAUAAUAUGCUUUUCUGGCUUUGUUAUGAUGUUGGUUGUUUAGAUUUUCGGUUUGCAAGAUAACGCCAGAAUAUAUUCAUUAACAUAAUAUUAUUCUCCAAUUUACUCAGGUUCCCAUAAAAACUUUCCGCAGAUCAAGAUCUGCUUGACUGUCAAACCCUCACCUGGCUUGAGCUCAAUUGGGAAGCAAGAGAGGGUGUGAAAGAGUCUAAACCAGAAGUUUAUAGAGAUUAGAAUUACUCUGUAGCUAAUUUUAAUCAGAAUCAGGGUGGGGAUUCGACGAUGCAGGGUUCGAGGACGAGUGACGGCAAUGUGGAGUCUGGAUCAGAAAGAAGGGGAAAAGAGUGAAGCAGUCAAGAGGAAGCUUGAUAUGCAAUUGGAAAGCAAAGGAUACAGAAAACAACAGGGAGCGAAAAUUCUUCAUCUGUUACUACUAAACUGAAUUUUUCAGAUAAAGAAAACUUUCCAUGUGCAAGGGUUCCAAGAGCAAAGUUUUGAUUGUUGAGGAGGUGAUGGAAAGUGAGGAUUACAAGAAAGAUUCAGUUGGGGAUCACCAAAACUCUUUACGGUUGCUUGAAUUAUCAACAACUAAUGAUCUAAGUAGUUUUAAGGAUGCUGCGGAGAAAGAGGAUUAUGAGUUGGAUGAACCGAUGAAGUACUAAUUCUUUCUUCUACCAUUCAUAAUAGUACUCCGGGGUACUAAUUAGUUGAUGAUUGAAAAUGGAAAGUUAUUCUAAGUUUCUAACUAUAAACUACUUCUGGCAAUUUUGUGAAGCUGAUUGUAAUGGUAUAAUCAUAUUUACAUUUUGUUUUUUUGUCACCUUUCCACAACUGUUGUGGAAAUGAGAAGCUUUUCCUAUGAUAAUUACACAUUUUUCUUUGAAACAAUCAACCCUGUUGAUUUUUGUGGUUUCAAGGAUUUGGUUCGAUACUAAAUGUUGGAAUCAUUUCCUUUUCUUUUCA